GACGAACGCUGGCGGCGUGCUUAACACAUGCAAGUCGAACGGAAAGGCCCUGCUUUUGUGGGGUGCUCGAGUGGCGAACAGGUGAGUAACACGUGAGUAACCUGCCCUUGACUUUGGGAUAAAUUCAGGGAACUGGGGCUAAUACCGGGUAGGAGAUCCUGCUGCAUGGGGGUGGUUAGAAAGUUUCGGCGGUUGGGUAUUGUCUCGCGGCUUAUCAGCUUGUUGGUGGGGUAGUGGCUUACCAAGGGUUUGAAGGGUAGCCGGCCUGAGAGGGUGAACGGCGACAUUGGGACUGAGGUGAGGCACAGACUGCUACGGGAGGGCGAAGGGGGGAAUAUUGCCGAAUGGGCGGAGGGCGGAUGCAGAAACGCCGCGGGCGGGAUGACGCUCUUAUGGGUGUAAAACGAUUGUGCAUGUGACGAAGCGCGAGUGAAGGUAAUGGGUAAAGAAGCACCGGCUAACUACGUG
rnacentral:rRNA from 1 species